GUUACUGAGACCCUCGAAUUCCCAUAUGAAUUAUAACAGCAGCUAAUCAGUUUUUGCAGAGGAGCCCGCUGGGAUUGUGAUCGAAACCACGUAGAAUAUACGUAUCACUCUGGGGAGCACUGCCAUUCCAAGAGCACUGUCUUCUGAUCCAGGAAUGUACGUGGCGUGUCUGUCCAGGUGCCCUCACAUCCAGUGGCAUCCAUCCAGACACCAACACUGACACUGGCCAUGCUCAGAACUGCCUCAGCCCUGAAGACACAAGUGACAAAUAGAAGGGGGCCGCGCCCUGUUACAGCAGGUGCUCUCACUUUGUGGGUCCUUAUGUAACUGCGCCGUGUUAAUCAGGAUCGCCCUUUCUACAUUGUGUGGCGCUGCUGCAGUGUCUCCUAGUUAUUUGUUUCUCUGUCCACGUGGGUCAAAUCAUGGUGCCCCUCUAAAACCUCCAAAAAAAAAACAAAGUUGAUUCUCUAUUUUGCAACUUGCCAUCUCUACAUAAGUGCAGAAGAGUUAACAUCGUGAAAGAUCAGAGCCCGGAGAAUAGGCUUUCCUGGAUAUUUCAGGCUAAAGGCAACUUUCUUUUACAAAAGGUACAGAGCUACCAAGUCUGAGCCUAGAAAACAGCAAAGGUUUAAAGCCAAAGGAACAGAUCUAACAUGCAGUCAAAUUUAUUCUCUUCUAUUACAAUUUCUUUUUCCACCUCAUAAAUAAUUUUAGUAAGAAACAUGAGCAAUUUUUUUACUUUUGCUUCUUAGUAACGGAUAAGUGGGCCAAAUACAUUUAUGAGAGCAGGGAUGCUGUGCAGGCAUUGGGGUCACAGCAAACUCUUGUUGGGGGUGGUCGACUCUGCAACAUGUCUGAUGCCCCGUGGGUGUUGGUGAGGGACCCCAUAACCAGGGGCUCUCUUCAGGAACCAGCAUAUGGGCAUUGACCUCUGGAGACCUCUUUUUCAGCUGCCGGAAAUUUUUUCAGAUACUGUGACUGAAAAACCACUUCAGCUUGUGAUAAUUAGGGAAUAAAGGAAGAGGAAAAGGGCUUGGAUUAGAUUAGAAGAGAAGGACAGAAUAUCAGGGAACCUGGGGGCUUGGCAGUGGGUCCUUGGGAGAGAGGGGAGCAGAGGUGGGGAGGGGCACGGCUCUGGAACCAGCUCCUGCACCUGUCCCAGGGCCCAAGUCACACAGCUUUUAAUUGGCCCAGGACGCUCUCCUGUCUGGAUGUCACCCUGGGCAGAACAUUGAGAAUCGAAGGUAAGGGGUGGGCAGCACUCACCUAGGGGAUCACUGAGGACUUCGUUCAAGUCCACGGUGCCUUUUCUGGUCAUGUGUCUUCACUUGCCCUUUAUCUUAGGAUCUGAGGAGCAGGAGCAAAGAACGCAGGGAGAGAUCCAGGAAGACAUCUGACUGUGUUAAGAGAUGACAGUCACAGCCACACGGGGAGCGAGGACACUUGCAGCAAAAUAAAACGACUUCACAACUAUUGCAUCAGAGCUGCCGGUGUGAGAGAGCCUAAGCCUGUCUCAGAGUGCAGGGGACAAGCGGAAAGGAAUGUGUAAGAAUGCUGGUGACUGAGUUAGAAGCAUGCUUCAAAGCUGUCCGUCUCCUUGCCAUCCAGAAGCGGAGCCUGGGAUCUUCCGAAUUUCUCCAGAAUGCGGUUUACAUUCAUCUUCGACAGGCUCCUCCGCUCAGAUGUAAGAAUAUCCUCUUUCAACUUCUUGAUGCAGCUCCUUAAUGAAGAUCUCGUGAAGAAAACUUAGUCAAAACCUGGGAGAAUUCCUAGGAGAGAAUUCAGCAGUGCAGCAUCCUCUCCGAGCUCUAUGAUUUGAUCGGCUUCCACCGCAAGUCCGCCUUCUUCAAGCGGGUGGCCCCCGUGCAGCGCGCGGCCCCCGGCAUCCCGGAGCCUGGCGGGAAGGCCUGCUACCGACUCCUUCUGCAGACGCUUCCUGGCUACAGUCUGUCGCUGGAUCUGCAGGACUUCAGCAAAGUUUAUGAAGGUUUUCCAUGAGAUAUAUUGCUCAGCCUUUUCCUGAAUGAAGGAUUGAAUUUUCCACAGGAAAUCUUAUGAAAGAGAGUGACAAGGCACAUGGGUUUCCCAAAAAGGAAUACUUGAUGUAAUAAACUCUCACUAUGGUGAACUUUUUGAAUACAAGCGAGUUGAAAAUUUUAUCACUAGGUCAUAGGCCACAAAUCUGUCUUAAGAAUAAAAAGAUUCAAAUUUUAUAGAAGAAGAAGUUUGAAUCAAGUAGAAAUUAUGAUUUGUACACUAGUUGGUGUUAGAAAUUAUACUCAGUCUUCUCAUAAUUUCCUGUGGUAGGAACUGGAUUAUUAUUUAUUUAUUAAAAAAAAAUCCACUAGGUGCUAUUUGCCCCAUUCUUGAUGCAGCAGUGCUGAGGUUAGUUAAGUUGGGCCAUUUAGGAUUUUUAGCUAGGUUUUCUGGACAUUGAUUUCAGCCUCUUUAUCUUUUUUACAAUCUCUUCUUUUGUAUCGGCCUUUGGUGUUUUGACAACGUGGAAAUACUGCACGGAUCUGCCUUUCCCUUUUUUCUUGUCUUUGUGGGAAAAGAUUUCUGAAAGACAAACUACUAGGAUAUUAAGGAUUUUGUGUGGGGUAAGUUUGUUCAGUUCUAAGGUUUUCAAUUAAUACGUAUUAAUACUUGCUAUUCAGCUAAUGACAGUAAAAUUAUAAACUAACUUAAGUAUACAUCAGUAAGUAUAGUACAAUCAGCCCAUCAACCAGAUUAAGGAAUUCACAAACUUUUCCAUACUUCCUUUAUUCAGACCUUAGUUCUUUUAUUUGUCCUUUGUUGAAGUAUUUGACAGCAAAUCCAAGAAGACAUGUCAUUUUACCCUAUGUGCUCAAGUAGGCAUGUCUGAAAAAUGAGGGCCUUUUUUUGAUCAGGUUUUUCCAUUUGACCCAUGUGCUCAUUAAGUACCAGCUUUAUCAGGCAUCUCACUAGGCAUUAGGGAUCCUUGGGGCAAUGAGACAGUCCUGGCUCCCAAGGAAGUUAAGGGCUGAUGGAAGAAACCAACACAGGAGCUUGGGUGCCUCACUUAAGGUCCCUACUGGAUGACACCAAUUGGACAAAAUUUGUGCACAAUACAGUAGGAUUCACAAAAGGGACUGGUCAGAUUUGUAGGGCAGGCCGUGAGAGAGGCGGUCAGCAGGGCUACAAGAGGAGGACUCAUUUGAUCAGAAUCUGAAAUCCUUUCUGCCAACCUUUCUACCAAGCCCCCAGGGCCCAUCACAAACAACCCUGUGCUGUAACUGUUUUUGAUUCCAGUUACCACAUCUCCUUCAGGAAGGAUUUUAAGGUGGAAAAUAUUUAAAAUCCGUAAUUGUUGCCAGAAGGGACAUAGAAAAAGGAACAUGUAAACAACACAAAUGUCCAUCAGCACAUGACUGGAUAAACACGAGGUGAUACAUAUAUACAAUGGAAUACUACUCCGCCAUAAAAGAUGCCAUUUGCAGCAACAUGGAUGGACCUGAAGACUGUCAUUCUAAGUGAAGUGGGGUGGAAAGAGAAAGAAAAAUGCCAUAUGACUUCAUUUAUGUGGAAUCUAAAAUUAAUAGCAAUAAUAAUAAGACCACAAAUGAACUAAAUAUUGUUUUGAUUUCUUGAAUAUAUGCAAGCACAUCUGACUGUCCUUUGUGAUUGGAUUACCAUAUUCUGUUUAUUCUUUUGUAGAUGUCCUUAUUCCUCUGGUAACUAAUUUUAAAAAUCUAAAGCUCUAAUCUGUUCUUAGAAACAAUAAUUAGUACAUAUAUGUAAACUAAAAAAUGCAGUAUGCUCUAUACAUGUAUUUACAUGCAAUAUGUGUAUGUGACGUUGAACUGUAAAAAUUCUACCUGAUAAAACUGAAAAAGGAAAAAAAUAAAAAAUUUAUUUUAAAAAAUCACCCCUCUUUAGAUAUUAAAACGUUCAUUUCUGAGAUUCUGUGAAAGACGGCAUGGAAGUAGGUUUUUAAGAUUUUUCUCCUUG